rnacentral:rRNA from 1 species
UACAGAGGUCUCAAGCGUUGUUCGGAUUCAUUGGGCGUAAAGGGUGCGUAGGCGGCGCGGUAAGUCGGGUGUGAAAUCUCGGAGCUUAACUCCGAAACUGCAUUCGAUACUGCCGUGCUUGAGGACUGGAGAGGAGACUGGAAUUCCUGGUGUAGCGGUGAAAUGCGCAGAUAUCAGGAGGAACACCGGUGGCGAAGGCGGGUCUCUGGGCCGAUACUGACGCUGAGGUGCGAAAGCGUGGGGAGCAAACAGG